UCGAUCGGUGAGAUAUCGGCUUAAAGCUAAGCCCUAGAUUAAAGAAUAUUGGCGAAAGGAAAAUUAAAAGAUUAAAAUACGCGUGGCCUCGUUCUUUCUUAACUCAACUCCCAAAGGAGACGGAGGUGCUACAAUCCUCGCUGCCAACUUCACGGCAAUCUUUGCUGCACCCACCGCGUGUAUCGUGCAAGAAAAAAUAUAACCCUUUCAAUUGCAUCCUUCAUAGGAUUGCCCAACAAAACACCCAACUUGAUUCUGGUGUAGUUUCUGGUAGUGCAUUGCAGAGAAUAUGCGCGGAGCGCCUGUGAUUUGUCGCAAAAAUUAAUUCCGCGUCCAAUAACCUCGUUUUUUGUGGCGUUUUGGCUAUCGCCGCUCCAAUCGGAAUAAAUUUAUUCCAAAAUUUUUGUGGCUGUGGUGUCGCUCUCCAUAGGGGACUGGCACCACAAGUACGUAGCAGAUUACCCCUGAGUGGUAGGCCGCCAAGUCCGAUUUUUCAACUGAGGAAAGAGGACUCAGUCUCAAUGAAUUAACGAAACUUUGAGCGAAGGAAGUUUUAACCUGCGCCUUUCUGUCCAUUUUUGACCGGACUCAUUCCGAAAAAGAGCACGUGGUUUUGUGCAGUGCAGCCGUAAAAUAAUCAGGAUGGGUGCAAGCGUUUAAAAGCCCCUUCAAAUAUAAUUGUGUCUAUGCAUUCGAGCCUCUCGGUCCUGCCAAUGAUUAUCGCGAGUACUUAACCAAUAGAAAAAAAAAAAACCUAAAAAAACUUGAAUCCGUGGAAUUCAGGUCUUACUACACGUGUACCCAACGAAGCUGUUGCAACACAUUGGCAUGACCUAGGGACGUUCGAAGACAAUGUUCUUGUAAUACCUACACAUCCAAUACUUAUAAGAGUUAUUUGUUCACAGAGAGAGAGAGGUUACGAAUAAUGUUAAUGUUAAUGUGCUUAAUCGAAAACGGGUGCUCCCAAACCAAAUCAGAGGCUUCAGCCUCCGCUUCGAAAACUGUAAGUCAAACCAUAGAAGAAAAAUUAUUAAUUGUUUCGGGUUAUUCGUUUUUGGAGCCUUUGAAUAUGUUGGACGUUGGUACCAUUGCCAAUAAUUGAAUUUAUUAGAAAAUUUAACCGUCUAGUUGUUAUUUUUAUCCUUUUCUCUCCCGGCAUCAGUUUGAUAUGAUUCGAUUUUUUUUGUAAAUUUGAUUAAAUUUGGUUUUUGUAACCUAAUCUCAAGAUAACGAGUAAGAUAAUUAUGUUUGAUAACCGCAUUGCUGCAUCGUAUAUACUAUAUGAAAUUGAGGAUAAGAUCCAAACUUAUUUUUUGACCAGUAUUUAGUUUAAGAUUUCAAAGUAUGAAGAUAAGCUUGAAUAGCCCAAAAGAACAAAUUCGGUAAUCAGUAACCGGUAAUUUCGUACUAAUCAUACUUUAGGGACCUCUACAUAUUAACUUCAUUAAAUCUGAAUAAUAUUAAGUUCGUUUGUUUCCGAAAGAAAUACUAAGAAUGAAUUAAAUUAGGAAAUGAAUCCUGCCUUGUUCAUAAGUUUAGAAAUUAAUAAAACUAUUGUUCUUUGAUAUGAA